GUGUUUGUAUUGGUGGCACAUAUAGUGAAAUUAGAAUGAUACAGAGAAGAUUAGCAUGGCUCCUGCACAAGGGUGACAUGCAAACUCAUGAAACAUCCAUAUUUUUA
ensembl:snRNA U6 U6 spliceosomal RNA